rnacentral:rRNA from 1 species
UACGUAGGUGGCAAGCGUUGUCCGGAAUUAUUGGGCGUAAAGCGCGCGCAGGUGGUUUCUUAAGUCUGAUGUGAAAGCCCACGGCUCAACCGUGGAGGGUCAUUGGAAACUGGGGAGCUUGAGUGCAGGAGAGAAGAGUGGAAUUCCACGUGUAGCGGUGAAAUGCGUAGAGAUGUGGAGGAACACCAGUGGCGAAGGCGACUCUUUGGCCUGUAACUGACACUGAGGCGCGAAAGCUAGGGGAGCAAACGGG